GAUGAACGCUGACAGAAUGCUUAACACAUCAGCAAUGGAUUGGUGGCGGACGGGUGAGUAACGCGUAAAGAACUUGCCUCACAGGUAGGGACAACAUUUGGAAACGAAUGCUAAUACCUAAUACUGUGAGAGAGCUUUGCGUCCCAUUAGCUAGUUGGAGAGGUAACGGCUCACCAAGGCGAUGAUUGGUAGCCGGCCUGCGAGGGUGAUCGGCCACAAGGGGACUGGGAGGCGGCCCUUACUCCUACGGGGAGCAGCAGUGGGGAAUAUUGGACAAUUGACCAAAGUCUGAUCCAGCAAUUCUGUUUGAACGAUGAAGUUUUCGGAAGGAAAAGCGCUUUCAGUAGGGAAGCGGUACCAACAGAAGAAGUGACGGCUAACUACGUGCCAGCAGCCGCGGUAAUUC
rnacentral:rRNA from 1 species